rnacentral:rRNA from 1 species
GACGAACGUUGGCGGCGUGCUUAACACAUGCAAGUCGAACGGAAAGGCCCUGCUUUUGUGGGGUGCUCGAGUGGCGAACGGGUGAGUAACACGUGAGUAACCUGCCCUUGACUUUGGGAUAACUUCAGGAAACUGGGGCUAAUACCGGAUAGGAGCUCCUGCUGCAUGGUGGGGGUUGGAAAGUUUCGGCGGUUGGGGAUGGACUCGCGGCUUAUCAGCUUGUUGGUGGGGUAGUGGCUUACCAAGGCUUUGACGGGUAGCCGGCCUGAGAGGGUGACCGGCCACAUUGGGACUGAGAUACGGCCCAGACUCCUACGGGAGGCAGCAGUGGGGAAUAUUGCACAAUGGGCGGAAGCCUGAUGCAGCAACGCCGCGUGCGGGAUGACGGCCUUCGGGUUGUAAACCGCUUUCGCCUGUGACGAAGCGUGAGUGACGGUAAUGGGUAAAGAAGCACCGGCUAACUACGUGCCAGCAGCCGCGGUGAUACGUAGGGUGCGAGCGUUGUCCGGAUUUAUUGGGCGUAAAGGGCUCGUAGGUGGUUGAUCGCGUCGGAAGUGUAAUCUUGGGGCUUAACCCUGAGCGUGCCUUCGAUACGGGUUGACUUGAGGAAGGUAGGGGAGAAUGGAAUUCCUGGUGGAGCGGUGGAAUGCGCAGAUAUCAGGAGGAACACCAGUGGCGAAGGCGGUUCUCUGGGCCUUUCCUGACGCUGAGGAGCGAAAGCGUGGGGAGCGAACAGGCUUAGAUACCCUGGUAGUCCACGCUGUAAACGGUGGGUACUAGGUGUGGGGUCCAUUCCACGGGUUCCGUGCCGUAGCUAACGCUUUAAGUACCCCGCCUGGGGAGUACGGCCGCAAGGCUAAAACUCAAAGGAAUUGACGGGGCCCCGCACAAGAGGCGGAGCAUGCGGAUUAAUUCGAUGCAACGCGUAGAACCUUACCUGGGUUUGACAUGGAUCGGGAGUGCUCAGAGAUGGGUGUGCCUCUUUUGGGGUCGGUUCACAGGUGGUGCAUGGCUGUCGUCAGCUCGUGUCGUGAGAUGUUGGGUUAAGUCCCGCAACGAGCGCAACCCUUGUUCACUGUUGCCAGCACGUUAUGGUGGGGACUCAGUGGAGACCGCCGGGGUCAACUCGGAGGAAGGUGGGGAUGACGUCAAGUCAUCAUGCCCCUUAUGUCCAGGGCUUCACGCAUGCUACAAUGGCUGGUACAGAGAGUGGCGAGCCUGUGAGGGUGAGCGAAUCUCGGAAAGCCGGUCUCAGUUCGGAUUGGGGUCUGCAACUCGACCUCAUGAAGUCGGAGUCGCUAGUAAUCGCAGAUCAGCAACGCUGCGGUGAAUACGUUCCCGGG